rnacentral:rRNA from 1 species
UUGAACGCUGGCGGUAUGCUUUACACAUGCAAGUCGAACGGGCUAUGGGGCUUGCUCCAUAGUUAGUGGCGAACGGGUGAGUAAUAUAUCGGAACAUGUCCGGAAGUGGGGGAUAACGUAGCGAAAGUCACGCUAAUACCGCAUAUGCCCUGAGGGGGAAAGGGGGGGAUCGCAAGACCUCUCGCUUUCGGAGUGGCCGAUAUCGGAUUAGCUAGUUGGUGAGGUAAAGGCUCACCAAGGCGACGAUCCGUAGCUGGUCUGAGAGGACGACCAGCCACACUGGAACUGAGACACGGUCCAGACUCCUACGGGAGGCAGCAGUGGGGAAUUUUGGACAAUGGGCGCAAGCCUGAUCCAGCCAUACCGCGUGAGUGAAGAAGGCCUUCGGGUUGUAAAGCUCUUUCAGCCAGAAAGAAAUUGCUUCUAUUAAUACUAGGAGUAGAUGACGGUACCGGAAGAAGAAGCACCGGCUAACUACGU